rnacentral:tRNA from 1 species
UGGUGGCUUAGUGGUUAAAGCACUCGGCUGCUACCCGAAAGGUCUGAGUUCGAACCCAUCAGCCA